AAGUCGUAACAAGGUUUCCGUAGGUGAACCUGCGGAAGGAUCAUUAACACGUAUCCAACGUUAAACCCCCCGUGCACCUUCACAGAGCGCGCUGCUCCUCUCGACGUCAGCAAUCCUGGUGUAGUGCCCCUUUACGACGACCAAGUUAAAUUAGGCCUCUACCACAUAGCAAGUGCGCCGUGGUAGAGGAAAACGUACAACUGUUAACAAUGGAUAUCUUGGUUCUCGC
rnacentral:misc_RNA from 1 species